AGUAUAACUGUCCUAGUAGCCCAGAAUCCUAACUUUUCCCCAGAUUCAGAAACAUGGACAGUCUUUCUGCAGCAAACACAACCUUUGCCCUCAAUCUCUUUAAGAAGCUUAGUGAAAAUGAUCCUACCAAGAACUUGUUUUUUUCUCCUUUGAGUAUCUCUUCUGCACUGCUUAUGGUCUUGUUGGGUACCAGAAAUAACACAGAAGCUCAGAUGUCAAAGG